rnacentral:rRNA from 1 species
AGGUGAGGAUGAGUAGUGUUAAUGCACCAAUUCCUAUAAGAACUCCGUAGUUAAGCAUGCUUGGGCGAGAGUAGAACUAAGAUGGGUGACCUCUUGGGAAGUCCCCUGGUCGUGCACCUC